rnacentral:rRNA from 1 species
UACGUAGGGUGCAAGCGUUGUCCGGAAUUAUUGGGCGUAAAGAGCUCGUAGGCGGUCUGUCGCGUCUGCUGUGAAAACUCAGGGCUUAACCCUGAGCUUGCAGUGGGUACGGGCAGACUAGAGUGAUGUAGGGGAGACUGGAAUUCCUGGUGUAGCGGUGAAAUGCGCAGAUAUCAGGAGGAACACCCGUGGCGAAGGCGGCUCUCUGGGACGGUACUGACGCUGAGACGCGAAAGCGUGGGGAGCGAACAGG